AACAAGGCGUACCUGCGGACCUGCGGAGGGAUCAUUACAGAGUUGCAAAACUCCCUAAACCAUUGUGAACGUUACCUAAACCGUUGCUUCGGCGGGCGGCCCGGGUCCUUCCCGGCGCCCCUCGGCCCUCGCGGGCGCCCGCCGGAGGUAAACCAAACUAUUGCAUUGUAUGGCCUCUCUGAGUCUUCUGUACUGAAUAAGUCAAAACUUUCAACAACGGAUCUCAGAUCGGAAGAGCAC
rnacentral:misc_RNA from 1 species